rnacentral:lncRNA from 1 species
UUAAAGUCUUAUGCUUGGUCUUGACAAAUGAGAGGUUUAACCUUCUUUGAUCCAAACCAAACUCAACUUGAUCCAUGAUCAAGUGAGUUGUUUUGUGUCCAAGAUAGGUUGCUUCUUGGUCAAGGAAAUAACCUAAAGUCAAUAGAAUGCCUUUCCCCUUUUGUUUUGGCAUGGCAAGUUUAUGGAGCUUGGCUUACUAGUCAUGAUCUCUAACUUGUGUUCUUUGCCUAUAUUUU